UCUGAAUUCAGUUUGAAUCAUCCAGCAUGAAAAACCAUCUUUGCAACAACAGUCCUCGUGGUGGUGAUGGGCGCAACCGACGCCUUCUCUGCCCCAGGGAAGCAUGGGUCCGCCCUCCGACCUGCUAUGGAGGCAAAGGAACAGUCCCUUGCCUGAAUUAAGAGGACCGUGGAUGAUCAUGACCAUAAUGAAUGAUGCUCGUGAGCAUAAAGUGGAAUCCCAUGGCCAUGGCAGCAGCGAAACCAUUGUUCAUGACACUACGGAGAAGAAAGGCCAACACCAUGAUUAGGACCAUCAUGAUUCCCAUGUGCACGAGGGGAGGCCCAUGAUCACAGCAGCAACAAAACCCAUGUUCAUGACAUUAUAUGCGAUUAUGACGGUCAUGAUCAUCGUAUUAACGUUGGCAUGACAAUGUCAGUGUUAUAAUCUUUAUUGUGAUAAACAAAGUUAAUAAAUUCACACCUAUUU